ACGAAGGGGGCUAGCGUUGCUCGGAAUGACUGGGCGUAAAGGGCGCGUAGGCGGUUUGGACAGUCAGGCGCGAAAUUCCUGGGCUUAACCUGGGGGCUGCGUUUGAUACGUUCAGACUUGAGUGAGGAAGAGGGUCGUGGAAUUCCCAGUGUAGAGGUGAAAUUCGUAGAUAUUGGGAAGAACACCGGUGGCGAAGGCGGCGACCUGGUCCUUGACUGACGCUGAGGCGCGAAGGCGUGGGGAGCAAACAGGAUUAGAUACCCUGGUAGUCCACGCCGUAAACGAUGUGCGCUGGAUGUUGGGGGGCUUAGCCCUUCAGUGUCGUAGCUAACGCGGUAAGCGCACCGCCUGGGGAGUACGGCCGCAAGGUUG
rnacentral:rRNA from 1 species